UACGUAGGGGGCAAGCGUCGUCCGGAUUUAUUGGGCGUAAAGCGCUCGCAGGUGGUUCGUCGCGUCGUGCGUGAAAGACCCCGGCUCAACUGGGGAGGGUCGUGCGAUACGGGCGGACUGGAGGCCAGUAGGGGGAUGCGGAAUUCCGGGUGUAGUGGUGGAAUGCGUAGAGAUCCGGAGGAACACCAGCGGCGAAGGCGGCAUCCUGGACUGGUCCUGACACUCAUGAGCGAAAGCGUGGGGAGCGAGUCCGG
rnacentral:rRNA from 1 species